AGGGUUAUAGUUUAAAUAAAACAAUUGAUUUGCAUUCAAUAAAUAUUAAUAAUGAUUAAUUUACCUUA
rnacentral:tRNA from 1 species